CGGGUCGUUGUCCCGGUUCCUGAUGCCGCCUUGGAGCUCUAGAAGGGGUAAUGCUGCCCCAGCUUGCGGGCACGAGGCACUGGACUAUAAUCUGUAUGGGUCCAUUCCAACUCAGGAUAUUCUACGAUUUAAACUAGAAGUCAGUGUUUUCUGAGCUCUGCCUGGAUAAUCAUCCACUAAACAUUCUAACUCUAGCUUAAAUGGUAAAUCUCACAACCUGGGUCUAAAACUGAAGUCCAGAUACUUAGAAUGAUACACCAAACUCUGUACUUCCCCGGAAAUCAUGGUUAUGUUCUUGUUAUACACUCAAUUGCAAUGUGAAAGUGUGAAAAUCUGUUAUGUAUGAAAAUCUAAGUGCACUUAAUAUAUGCUAACCUGAGACUGGAAGUCAGAAAUAUUAUAUGCAUGAUUAGAUUGAUGAAGUUGCAAAAAAGGAAAGCAUUUUAUCAUGUCUCAUAACAUUAUUACUUCUACUCAUAACAUUAUGAUUCCUGUAUCCUUUUUUUUUUAAGAGCUAGAGGACUCAGGGAACACAUCAUAUUUGUAGUUAAAAACAUAAAGAAACCUCAUGUUUGCUAUAUUCUUAUCUAGCAAUAAAAUGAAUUUAGCAUAAGAUAUGAAAAUGUAUACAAAUAAUUUGUCAAUAUUACAGUAUUAACAGUAAAAAUUACUGUGCUUAUAAAUCUCCUUUCCCAAGCCUUUACACUUAGCAGCUUCUCAGGUUUGGGUCAUCAUUUAAGGGAUGCAGAGCCAAGAAAACACAAACCUGCUCUUUCAAGUUUUCUUUGUAAUAUAGACCACUUAGAAACCGGACAGGCCUUUGAAAGGGUUAAUUAAAGAAUUCAGAGUGCUCCAAGCAACACAACAUGAAAAGAGCAUAUAUUAAU